UGCCGGCAGAGCAGCCAACUCGAAGCAGAGAUGAAGUGCAGCUGCGGGUGCUGGUGUGAGCCCCAGUGAGAGCUGGAACUGACGGUGUGUGACCAACUGCAGCAGCCAGGGAACAAUGGCUCCGAGGAGAGAGAGUCACAACGUCCAGCGAUUCCUGGAGCUCCAGCCCAGCCGGCCAUCCGAGUCCUCCGUCCGCUCACCGAGCUGUGCUGGAAACUAACCUGUCACGGUGGAACUGAG